AGCCGAAACGCGGGCGGGGCUCGCGUAUGCCGGGGAUGGCCAUCCGGCACUGAUGAGGCAGGCCAAC
rnacentral:hammerhead_ribozyme from 1 species